GUCCAGUUUUCACAACUCCAACCAUCUACUCUGUAAAUCAUAAAGAAAUCAAUACUUCUUCCCCCCAAAAAAGAUGUAAGAUUUCAAACCUUUUUCCCACCAAAAAAACCCUCAAAUAUUCGAACAAUUUUAAGAAAACCUAAUAACCUCAGAAACAAGAAAACAAUCUUUUUCCCUUUCCUUGCGUCUUUUGACACACAAAACUUUCUAGUCGAAAGAAACACCAGGGCGCGGCAAUGAGAUCAACGACAGAAUCCAAAAAAAAAAGGAAGGAAUUAGACGGGGGGAGAGAGAGAGAGAGAGAGAGAAACGGUUGGAAGAUUACGAGGGCGACGGCAGCGACGAGGCCAUAGAGCAAGGCGAGGAUAUGGAAGAUCCAGUCCUGCCACAGGGCAGAGUUGUUAACCUCGUCCCACCAGUUGGAGGCGCUGCUGACCACGACUGCCGUCACCUUCGGCACGGAUGGGGCCAUCGGACUCGUUCCUCGGGUCUCACCCAGGGAUAGGGUUCAGAACGCCGCGAAUCAAGGGUGAGGGGUCAAUGGAUCGGCAGCGCCCGGGGUCCGGAGAUGAGAGACCGGGAGGAUCUCGAAGGCGGAGCGAGAUGGUAGAGACGAUGCGGGCAAUCUAAGAAGGACGGGAAACCGAAAGGGGAAACCGCCGAAUGCUCCCAAAUUAAUCUCGAGACAGCGGGCCCAAAUUACAGGACGGGUCUACCCGCACGCAUACCUCUAUAUCGAACGUUGUGGAGCCCACAAAGAACAUCCAACCAUUAGAAGGGGGGUAUCGAUCGAGUAACGAUCCGACACCCAACCAUUAUGGAUUCUUGGCACGUGUUGUUGCAAGGCAGGAACAGCUCGGCUUCGGUGGCCUCCGCUCCACGCUUGGAAUCGCGUGCGGGCUAAAGAAAUCGGAGGUCGGCAUGUUACGGGUCGGGUCGUUCGGUCCAUCCGACCCGUUUAAAUCGGGUUCGGGUAUCUCGAACAAACACGAGCAGAGAGAGACGGGAGGAGACCAAAGUAGGAGAAUGCCAUUCAUGAAACAUAUAUUAAUUCUCCGACUUGGCAUUCCAUCAAGCAUCAUUAUUCAUGAACUUAGCUAUUUGAUCCUAAAUUCUAUCCACUGUCACUGUGGCAUUUUUUUUUGUGGCAUUUUUUUUUCUGACACACUGAUGUUGAGAUCAAAUCUCAGAUCUGCAAACAUGCUGCAGAAGAUUUCUAACUAUAGAACGCCACUUUUAAGACACCACGAUAUAUGGGAUCUAUUGGUCCAGUGCUUUUGGACAAUUAGGUUAUUUGAAUUUAAAUCAUUAAUUAAAAGAUAAAAAAAAGGGCAGCGACCGAUAGGGUGCAACGAGGGCAGUGGUACUCUAUAUGAUUAAAAAAAAUUUGCUAAAUAAAAAUGUCAGAAGGAAAGAAUAUGGUGAAUCUUCUUUUGAGACAUUUGUUACUAAAUAACAAAAAAGACAAGGAAGAAGUCAUAGUAGAAAUCCACAUGGUUAUAGAGGAAGAUCCAAGUCUAGAAGAUAUAUCAAAUAUUUCCACUGUAAUAGGUCAGGUCACAUGAAUAAAGAGUGUAGGUUUUGAAAACAAGAACAGAAUGAAAAGAAGAAAAAUGAAAAAGAGACCAAUAGGCUAAAGAUGAUAUCAUUAUUGUUUGUGAUGACGGUUGUGUCAGUCUUGUAGCUCAGGAUAGUAAUUGGGUGAUUGACUCUAGUGCUUCAUUUUAUGUCACUUUUCAUAGUGAUUUCUUCAGAUCUUACACUACUGGUGAUUUUGGUAAUGUUAGAAUGGGAAACAGUGGUACGUCGAAGAUUAUGGGUAUUGGAGACAUUUACUUGAAGAUCAAUAUUGGGAGCAAAUUGAUACUCAAAGAUGUUAGGCAUGUUUCAGAUAUUCGUCUUAACUUGAUAUCUACUGGCAAACUUGAUUAUAGCAAACUUGAUGAUGAGAGAUUUACAUAUUAUUUUAGUGAAAGUAAAUGAAAACUCACUAAAGGUUCUCUAAUUGUAGCAAGAAGAAAGAAGUUUAACUCUUUUUAUGUCAUGGAAGUUAAGCUACACAAAGGAGAGAUUAAUGCAAUUCAGAAAUGUGAAAGUAUAGAAGUUUGACACAAGAGACUUGGACAUAUUAGCGAGAAAUGACUUCAAACUCUUGCUAGAAAGCAAUUCUUACCAGAGUUGCAAGGUACAUCUGUUGAAUCUUAUGAUCAUUACUUAGCUGAAAAAAUACAUAGAGUUGAUUUCAUAUAUAUCUAUAAUAUAGAAAAUCAGAUGUUAUUGAUUUAGUUCAUACUGAUGUUUAUACUAUGCAAACUAGAACUCUUGGAGAUGCUCCUUUUUUUGUUACUUUUAUUUAUGAUCAUUCUAGAAAAAUUUGAGCUUUUGCUUUGAAAUCUAAAGAACAGGUACUCAAUGUUUUCAAAGAGUUUCAUGUCAGUGUUGAAAGAAAAACUAGCAGAAAGCUAAAGUGUGUUCGAUAAGAUAAUGGUAGUGAGUACAUUGGGUUUUUUAGAAAAUUAUUACAGGUUUCAUGGUAUCAGAAUUAAGAAAAUUAGUUUCCAAAACUCCUUAGCAGAAUAGUGUNNNNNNNNNNNNNNNNNNNNUAUCUAUAAUAUAGAAAAUCAGAUGUUAUUGAUUUAGUUCAUACUGAUGUUUAUACUAUGCAAACUAGAACUCUUGGAGAUGCUCCUUUUUUUGUUACUUUUAUUUAUGAUCAUUCUAGAAAAAUUUGAGCUUUUGCUUUGAAAUCUAAAGAACAGGUACUCAAUGUUUUCAAAGAGUUUCAUGUCAGUGUUGAAAGAAAAACUAGCAGAAAGCUAAAGUGUGUUCGAUAAGAUAAUGGUAGUGAGUACAUGGGUUUUUUGAAAAUUAUUACAGGUUUCAUGGUAUCAGAAUUAAGAAAAUAGUUUCCAAAACUCCUUAGCAGAAUAGUGUGGCAAAAAGGAUGAAUAGAACCAUUGAAGAAAUGAUUAAGUGUAUGCUUUCUCAUACCAAGUUACCUAAGUCAUUUUGAUGGGAGGCUAUGAGAACUAUAGUUGACCUGAUAAAUCUUUGUCCAUCGGUUCCUUCGAAAGGUGAUGUUCUAGAGACAAUAUGGAAAGGAAAAUAUAUAUCUUAUAAUCAUUUGAGAGUCUUUGGGUGUAAAGCAUUUGUUCAUAUUCCCAAAGAUGAAAGGUUCAAGCUUGAUAAUAAAGCAAAAGCAUAUAUCUUCUUAGGAUAUGAUCAUGAAGAGUUUGGGUAGAUUAUGAGAUCUAGUAAACAAGAAGAUUAUUAGAAGCAGAGAUGUUAUAUUUCUUGAAGACCAAUUGUUUGAUGAUGGUGAUAAUGUUGAUAAGCUAAAAACCUUUGUUUAUAUUCCUUGGAGUUUGAGUCUAGUUCCUUCACUUGUAGUUUAUGAUGAUCAUGGGGAAGAUAAAUAAGAAGAUUAUGGUAAGAAUGUCAGUGAUGAGACUCCUACAAUUGAUGAUGUUGAACCAACUAAAUAAGCACCUCUACCACUAGUUGAGAUUUUAUUGAGAAGAUCCACUAGAGAGCGACAACCAUCUAUUAGAUAUCCUCCACAUGAGUAUGUUAUGCUUAUUGACGGGGGAGAGUUAGAAACUUACCAAGAAGCUAUUCUAUAUAAGUAUAAGAAUGAGUGGGUUAAAGCCAUGCAAAAAGAGAUGAGAUCUUUGCUUGAGAAUCACACCUAUAACUUGGUAUAAAAAGAAGAAAGCUCUCAAGAAUAAGUGGGUUUACAAAUUGAAGAUUGAAAAUAAUAGCUCACAACAAAGAUACAAGGCAUGACUAGUUGUGAAAGGAUUCAAUCAGAAGAAAUAUAUUGACUUUGAAGAAAUAUUUUCUCCUAUGGUGAAAAUGUCCUCUAUCCGUGUUGUUCUUGGUUUAGCUGCCCGCUUAAAUUUAGAAGUUGAGCAAUUUGACUUAGAAGAAGAAAUUUACAUGGUGCAACUAGAAGAUUUCAAAGUUAAGGGAAAAGAAAAUCUGAUGUGCAAGCUUAGGAAAAGCUUAUAUGGACUCAAAGAGGCACCUAGACAGUGGUAUAAGAAGUUUGAUUCUUUUAUGAUAAGCCAAGAGUAUAAUAGAAUCACAUCUGAUCAUUGUGUGUUUAUGAAGAAAUUUUUAGAUGAUGAUUUUAUUAUUCUACUAUUAUAUGUUGGUGAUAUGCCGAUUGUUGGUCAUGAUGCCGGUAAAAUUGAAAAGCUUAAAAGAGAGCUAAGUAAGUCUUUUGCCAUGAAAGACUUAGGAUCAGUGAAACAAAUACUUGGCAUGAAAAAUUUUUGUGAAAGGAAGAAAAGAAAGAUUUGACUAUCUUAGGAGACCUACAUUGAAAAGGUUUUUGAAAGAUUCAACAUGAGUAAAGCCAAAGCAAUUUGUUCUCCACUUGUAGAUCAUUUCAAGCUUAGUUCGAAAUAAUGUCCUACAAGUGAAAAAGAAAAAGAAGAAAUAUCUAAAGUGUCUUAUUCAUCUGCAGUAGGUAGUUUGAUGUAUGUUAUAGUUUAUAUUAGGUUAGAUAUAACUCAUGUAGUUAAAGUUGUUAGCCGAUUUAUCUCUAAUUCUGGUAUGGAACAUUGGACAAUAGUGAAAUGAAUAUUAAGAUAUCUAAGAGGUACUUCCAGGUUGUGUUUAUGUUUUGGCAGUGAUGGACAUGUGUUAUAUAGUAGGUGAUACUAAUUCCAAGAAGUCCACUUCGGGUUCUUGAUGACAUUUGCAGGGGAGCAGUCUCUUGACAAUCUAAGUUACAGCAUUGUGUUGCUCUAUUAACCAUGAAGCCUGCAAGGAAGCUUUAUGGGUGAAAAAAUUUCUUCAGGAAUUGGGCUUGAAACAUAAAGCAUAUACUGUUUACUGUGAUAGUCAGAACGCCAUUCACCUCUCCAAGAAUUCAAUAUAUCAUUCUAGAUCCAAGCAUAUUGAUGUGAGAUGACACUAGAUUCGUGAUAUACUUGAGAUGAAAAAAUUACACUUGGAAGAGGUGCAUACCAAUGAGAAUGGAUCAGAUAUGUUGAUAAAGUAUUUGCCUAAGGAAAAGCUCGAAGUAUGAAGGCGAAAAGCGGGCUUAAUACAGCACAUCAUAUGAGUUGGAGGGGAAGAAUUGUUGGGUCCAGCCCAUAUGUGGGCUUAGACAAUUAGGCCUUUUAAGCUCAAAUCAUUAAUUAAAAGGCAAAAGAAGAGGGCAGCGAGCUCGCGCAGCGAGUGGUGAUGGCGCACAACGAGAGGAAAGAAGAGAGAGAGAGAGAGAGAGAAGAGACAGAAAAAUUAGGAUUUUGAGUUUUCUACUCGACAAUUAGGGGUUAAGCUUUGUCAGUUUUGGUCCAAAUUUUAUGCAGAGAAUCCUUACAAGCUCUACAAUAUUAACGAUGUUGAUCUGAAGUUUACCCUCUCUGAGGUACUUCUCUACUAUACCCAUUUUGUGAGACAUAAAAUUUUCUUAUGAUUAGAUUCAUCUAUGUGAUUAAUAUAUGUUAUUCUUGAGCCAAGAUAUAUGAUUUUGAUAUUAUUAUGAUCCUCUUGUUAUUUUAGAGAAAACUUAUUGUAAACCUGUUAUCAUUAUUAUUGAUAGUAGAAGUUUUAGGUGGACUAUAGUCCGUAGUUUUUCUCGCAUAGGGUUUUUCACGUUUAUGCUGCUCUGGUUGAUAUUUAUAUUUUGAUAUCAAGUUGGUACUUUGAUGAAAAACUCAUUUUGAUACACAAAAAGAGAAAAAAUUAUUCCACUUUUACAUGUUUUUCCCAUUAGGAUCUCCACAACUGCUGAGAUACUGCUGAGAAAUUUCCAAGAUAGUGAAGAAAAAAAGGGUUAAAUUCCUCGUAGACUCACAAAAAAGGAAGAAAAAGAAGUCAAAGGCAUGAAGUUCUGCACAACAAUUAUUUGCUUCAAAUUGCAAGAUCUCAAAGCUGAUAUUUAGAAAAGAAAGCUAAACUAAAAACAGCCAGGCAGAGCUUUGCAGAUUAUAAUGCCUCCACAACCACCUGCUCAUCGAUCACAUACCCAGAAAUCGGGUUUUAUAUGCGGUAUUGUUGAGCUUCUCGUUUUCUGGAUCCUCCACUCGUAGUAUCUACGAGGGUUCUUUCCACCAAAAAAAAAGAAAGAAAAAGAAAAUAAUCAAAGCUGACCUUAUCGGCCAACCAAAUUUUAGGAAGUAAUUAAGCUCCUCUCAGGUAGAUAGCAAGUGUGAAAUAUAUGAGAAUGAUUGUACCCAUGCUAGACCUGUGAACAAUACGCAAGCAUUAGUCAUGUUCAUUAUCCUAAGAUGAUGCUUUCAGCUCUCAAAAAAUUAAGCUAGGAUGAACAACAAGCAUCAAUCGAUCAAGUUUUUAAUGUGACAACGAGUCAGAAGUACAAAAACACUUUUUUUUUUUCUCAUGUGGGUGGACUCGACAUGUCUGGUAGAUGUUACAAUCAACUGUUUUUUUUUUUUGGUGUCUCAUAGCAGUUAUAAUUUGAUUUGAACUCAGCAGUUAGUUAGUUCGAGAUCUCCGCAAGCAUACAAGAGCUAAUAAGAACAGAGGAUCAAUGAAAGAACCAACCAUCAGGACAACCCUCCUCCGUUAGGACAUAUGUUAUGAGAGAAAAAAUAGAUUUCAACUGAAAAGGAAAUGCAACCAUAUUCUAGCAUCGAUUCAAUUUCCAAAACAAAGGGGCAGAGUAUCAAUUUGCACUCAUAUACUUUCCUAAUUUUGCCCUUCUAUGAAAAAUAGAUGCAAUGACAGAAUACUGAAAUGACCAAACAGGGAAUAUGCAGAUGUCAAAUAUAGAAUAAAUAUGAUAUGAUAUGGUAAUAAGACUCUGAAGAAGUAUCUUUUAUGCAUGCAAAGAGUAUCCUUAGCUGACAUGCUUUUGAGGCAUCGGUGUUCCACAUAUCAUCAAAAGCAUUUUGCAUAUGGUCUGCACCCCAUGAUCUAAUUUAUAUUAAACUCCGGGCCAACCGGAUAGCUCCGUGUUGAGAGAAGCUCUACAAGCUUAAUGGCAGUUAUGAAUAUGUCAUGAAAUACCAAGUUAAUAUCACCUUUCCUCGACCCGUGUUUGUUUGGCUUAACUGUAGAAAGCUCUGAUGCUAAUGAAUAGGCAACGAUCAUAUAAUAAUUUCUAAUCUCUUACAAGUGCAGGAAGUUCUCAAUCAGCAAGAUACAAUUAAAUAUUAGCCAUAAAGGACUAAUUAUACUCUUUCCUUUCUCCAUCCUUUAUUACACUUUCGCUUAUUUCAGAUCAAAAUUUUUCUAGUUCUAAAAACCCAAAAAUUGUUGGCCAUGAUACUGCAGGCAAGUCACAGUAAAACUAUAGCCACAUUUUAAGUGCAAUUGCAGAGGUAGGCUAAAAUGCAGAUUCCAGACUAGAGAAACUUCCACAACUAGAGAAGCUUCCACUAUCUUCACCAGUCAUAAAACUUCCAACUGCGGCAGUAUAUGCUCAAUUAUGGAACAAAUAACUAGCCAUUAAUCAUGAUGAUGGGAAUUGGAAAGAAUUAAAAAUUGAAGGAAUGUACACGUUGAAUUAGUGAUGGUCUUGUGACAACUCCAAAUUGACCAAUUAUUAUCUUAGCGAAACAAGAUUAUCACAUAACACUUACAUUGAUGCAAAGAGGAGAAGUAUCUUUUUUGGGUUGAUGGCUGUGAAGCGAUUUAACUUCCUAGUCCUUCCAUCUCCAGCAUCUGAGAGAUUAGAGACAUUUGCCACAGCUGGAAGUCCUACAUGAGACUUGUUGGUAAUCGGUUGUUGCUUCAACUGUUCGGAUUGGGAAUAGAAUACUGUACGGGAGGAAAUCAACAAGAUCAGAUCCAGGACACCAUCACUCGAUGUGGCAAUGCAUAUUAUCGGCUACUGUGACUACAUACCAGACAUGCAUAAAACAAGAAGCAAAUUCAAGAUCAAAUGCUGAAGUAAACUAAAUCAGCAACUUUGGCAGACAAGAUGGCAUGUUCGGCACGAACUAACAAUGAUACAGUCAAGGUCAACUGAUGCAUUUCAAGAUUGUCAGCAAGGUUUUAGAAGGGCUAAUCUCUAGGAUGCACUUGAAUUUUAUGACAGUGUAUAAUUUCUGUAUCUUAUAAAGUAGAUGAAAUACCAUAUGCAACACAAAAGCAAAAAAAAGAAGAGGGAGAAAGGAAGCUAAAUCAUCAUAUGGCUACACAUUUAUCCUAACAGCAUGUGCAAUAUCUCCUGAUCAAUUACUCUCUAAAAUUAGCUUUUUCAGUCAUACGCAUCUUAUACCUUUAACCACAAGCUUUUUGGUGGCCUCAUCUGCCUCUUGCUCCUCACCAUUUCGCCUGUCCAUUCUGCAUGAACCUUUACGAGAUAGAGCUUUCUGUUUCGAAGAUAAGAACCAAACAUCAGAUAUCAAGAUAACCAACAAAGGCGCUAUAAAAUCCUAACUAUUACAGGGAUGUCAAAAAAUUGCUUCCACAGUAAUUUGGAAUUGUCAGACAAAUCAUAUAGAUGACUCACUGUCACUUUUGGACUUCCAGAGCAAUUGUCUGAUGGUUGAGUUAGGCUCUCAAUAUCUACAACCACAUUUCCCACUUUAUCCAUAACUGUAGUUCGGCUCUGCAAUUCAUUAGACCGUAAAAUCUUAAGAAAGAUACAAACUUAUAGUUAAGAAAUAUGACCCUUAACAAUACUGAAAUGACAAACUGGUGGGAACCAUGAUCGACAAGGAUUUUUAUUUUGCAAGUAACCCCUGUCAGAUAAGACUCACUAUUGGCUGGAUCCUGCAAGAAUCAAUGACCCGGAAAUAUGUAUCACAUAUCAGAGUAAUGCUACUGUAUCCUAAAUCCUUUGUUCGAGUCCUCUAUGAAUAUACCAUAGUUCAGAACAUAUACAUCACACCAAGUCCGAUCAGUUUUCCUUCUCUGCUUACCUACCAACAGCAUUUAACUCUAAAUUACCUUCUUUCCACUUUAGCCACAAAAUGGACCUAAACACCGGCUUCUCAAUGCCAAAUUCAACUGACUCAAAAUUAUGCAAAAAAUGUAUUUCUUUCCUAUAAUUUAGAAUAAUUGGGAAGCUGAAGCAUUAAGACAUACAGAGAGACACUUCACUCAUCUCCAUUGGGACUUGUCCUGUUUCAGCUAAUACUAGUAUCUGCAAACAUGCAACCAGAGAGUAAAUGCUCAAUCAAAUAGGUCUCUAAAACUAACAAAAAUUAAAUAGACUAAUCAAAAAUAAUAAUUACUCAUGAUUCUAAUGCGUGGAGUAUUUCUCACAGUACAGCUAUAGACAAAACUAGUCUAGAAAGAGCAGGAUCAAAGGGCUCAACAACGAAUAUAAGUAGCGAAUUGUUCUUUUCUCUAAGGAAUCAAGUCAUGUAUCUAAAAAUUAACAUAAUAUUCGGCAAAGAAAGAAAUCUGCAAUUACAUUAAAAUUUUACAAUAUCGUCGCAGAACUUUAUUAUUACUCUCAUACAGUGUGUACGGCCGCAAAUUCUCCAACCUCGAUAUUUUUUUUUUGUGUCAAAAGCCUACUUCAAAAACAAUAUUUUAUUCGAUUCUUCGAAAACUAAAGCAUCUCCCAAAAAGGAAAAAGGAAGAAACAAAAACGGAAGUCGUAGAAACUCAUGCGUUUAAUAUAUUUCGACAAGAGAAGGAAAAGGAAGCGAAGCGAAUGUUACAAUGUGUAGAGAAAGCUAAAAGAAGCAUUUGCAGUAGCCUCAAAAAUAGACCAAAAUAUCACGAAAGUAGUUCUAACUGUUCCAAGAUGGAAAUUUUAUUAGGCAGAGGGACAAACAAAUCCUGAAAUUUCUUUCAAGAUCAAUGAUGGAAGAGAUCAAGAGACGACAGGAGGAAAUAGAAGGGUACGUCUACAAACAGAAAUGUUCGAGCCAUUCUCCUACUAGUGUCAGAGGCGAGAAAAAAAAGCACACAAAUUUCGGAACAAGAUGCGAAAAAAGGGAGAGAGAGAGAGAGAGAGAAGGAAGAGUCUAACCGUUGGGGAGUGUUCCCCCUCUUUCUCUAAGAAGACUAUAGCUUGUUUACGUUUCCCGAUGCUCUCGUUGGCUAUAGACCUGCAAACAUUUGGAAGAAACAGAGAGAGCUAACUCUGUGGAUGACCAACCAGUGUAUAGCGUGUCAGCUCUCUCUCUCUCUCUCUCUGUGUGGAUGACCAACCAGUGUUGGUGAUGCUGUAAAUGUUAGGGACGCUUGGCAAUGGCAAGGGGCCAAAAUCCCACACAAUAAUGCCCGAGAAGAAGAAGAGAGAAGGUAACCUUUUUACUCAUCCGGAGUGAAAAGUAAAGCCAAGAAGAGCCGUCGACAUGUUAGAGCAAUGAUUCUCUCGUCCAAAUGUUCCGCGAUCCAAUCGAGAGCAGGAAAACUAUUCCUGAAAGCACUAUAUCUCUAAAUUUCAUCAUCCCCACUGAUCAACUACUAUCUUGGUAGGAGGGAAUCUGGAGUUCCUAAUCUGUUUCUUUGGCCAAUUUUGCCUCACCUCGUGAGUAUUAUUGUCCGAUCUCACGGGCGUCACUCGACAACAAAGAUUAGUGAAACGAAACUCCAUCAUCCUCGUCUGCGUAUGUUUCAUCCUCUUCGAGUAGCUUCAUAAAUCUGGAUAGAGUUUUGGCGUCCCGUGGGUCGUGUAAUGCUGGCCACCAGUUGCAUUCAUGUACUACAGUAGAGUUGGGGGAAGUCUAUUUCUCGAUCCAAUUGGAUACUGCAUCAUUUACCCUUGGAUACUGUUUCCUAAUGGCUCCAACUCAAUGAUUCCAGAUCGGAUAUAAACCCCUAACGCUCGAUCCAAUUUAUCUUUGAAAAAGGUGGGGUUUUUUUUUAUUGGUGCUGUUUAUUUAUCAUCACAGACUGUGAUGGACGGCCCAGAAACCCACAACGCAUGAUUUAGUAAGUAGAUUGUCGUGAUUCUCGCGUACAACGAGAUCCCGACAAAAUCCGCCGGGUGGAAAUCCAGCGGUCGGUCGGUCUGCUGGAUCCACUAACCCGCCGGUCAAAGUUUUCUCCAGAGGUAUGUCGUUCCCCCUGGACACUGCAACCAGCCACAAUUUUGUACAAGUCAUCCACCGAGUAUAAGGACGAUCUAAGGUAACUAAAUCAUACAGAUAAAGAUGUAUCCCUACAAAAAAAUUUCCAGUAUAAACAAUUCUCGUAAAUAAACAUAAUCAAAUAAACCCUCGCCCUUUCACGUCCGGCUGUCAUGGGUGACCAGACCGUCCCCAAAUUCACGUGCCCCGCAUAAGUGUUGGACCCAUCAAUAGAUCCUGACGUCGCCGUCAAAGGCGGAUCACGAGGUCAACGAUGGACCAACAUCACAAAUAAAGUGGAUCAUAGUUUGAAGAAGCUAUCAGUUUUCUCAAACAACCUAAUCAGAAUUUGAAGAAGGCAAACACCGAUCAACGGCAAUGUGUUCAAAUUAGCUCAUCUUAAGUCUUAGGAAAAGCACUGCUCGGAUAGCAAUGGGGGGGGGGGAGAUCGGGAAUGACUACAUGAAACAUGACAUAAAUCAUCAAGCCAGUGCAGUACAGAUCAACAACUUCGGCAGAUAAUACAAGACAUGGAGAAGUCGAGCCAAUGUUACCUGCAUCGUCUACCUCGUACUGAGGGAAGGUUGCUGAGCUCCAACAGCAGGCCUUGCUCAAGAGGUAACAUCAACAGUUAACAAGAGUGUAUUUUGCACCUCAUGCAUCAAUACAGUUCGUCUCCUAGUCCUGCUCAACUUUGAGAUGCUGAAGUCCUGACUCCAAUGCACCUUCUCCCUCUUCGGUAGCACCUUCUUUCUCUCCUUCGUCUUCGUCCUCUUCACCUUCCCCUUCGACAUCAUUCUCAUCCAAUGGUCCAAGCACGUCCACAGAAUUUUUGCCAUUCUUUAGUAUUUCCUUCACCUCAUCGAUGCCUUCAUCUGAAAUGGCAUUGCCAUUUAUGUUUAGCAGCUUGAAAUCAGUCUUGUUUGACACUGCCUGAGCCAAGCAUCUUGCUCCUACCCUCUGUAUCAGGUUGGUGCUCAGAUCAAGUUCUCUGAGCUGUGUAUGGCCCUCUUCCAAUGCUUUGCCAAUGAGAACAGCACCCUGAUCCUUCAGCUCAUUCUCAGACAAGAUCAGCAUCCUGAGUGACUUCUUGAUGGCAACACACCCUGCCAGUGCAGGGGCAGCUUUUGGUGUGAUAUCAUUUCCAGUAAUGUCCAAGCCUUCUAGAGAAGGAGCAGAUUGUUUCAGGGCAUUAGCGAUGGCAAUGGCCCCCUCAUCUUCUAGAUUUAGAUAGCUAAGGUAGAUUUCUUUAACGUGAACAAGCUUUUCAAGUGUCUGGCUCAGGGCUAUCCCAGCAUCAACACCAAAUAUAUUAUCACGGAGAUCAAUCCUCUUCAAACGAGUGCAGGUCUCCAAUGCCUUGGCCAACUCAAUUCCACCCACAGAGCCCACCCUGGUCGAUGAGCAUCUGAAGUCCUCCAGCAGAGGAGAACGUUUGAGGACCUCAGAAAUAGCAAUAGCACCCUCAUCUCCUGUCAUAUUGUUAUGGAAAUGCAGGAUCUUAAGCUUGUCAGUCGAUGGAAUUAACUCACACACAGCUUUGGCAGCCUCCUCAGAUAUUCCAUCAUUCAUUAAGUAAAGCUCCUCUAUGCUCUUCUGUGAUCUUAAAAGUGCCUCGAAUGCCCGGACACCCUUCUCACCUAGGGCAUUGUCGGACAGGUUCAGAUAUCUGAGAACACUGCCUUCCAAGGCUGAUGAAAAUAUCCUCAUCACUUCAAGAGCUUCUUCCUCUGGUCUUCCUGCGAUAAAAUCUGAUAGAUUUACUUCAGUCAGCUGCUCCUUGAGAGAGGCCAGAAUAGGCCCUGCAACAUGAGCUGCAUCGAUACCGAAGCUUCUGUUGCUGAGGCAUAUCUUUCUGAAUGAGUUUCCUUGCUCAGUUAGCGGGCUAAGAAGUUUUCUGGCCUCCUCAGCAUCAAUAAAUGCCCUAGUACCCCCUGAAAUAUCAAACACAACUUCACCAGAUUUAACAGGUCUAUCAACCGCUGCCAUUUCACCAUCUUUGGGUUUAGGGCCUUUUUUAAGCACUUCCAACAUCAGCUUGCUGGUUUGUUUAGCAUAGAAUUGAACUGCAGAACUUCCAACACCAUCAGGCUCUUUUUCAAAAUGUUUACUGGCAGCAACAAAGCAUUCAUCCUCGAUUCGCUUAGCAUUCUCAUGAGCCUCUUCUUUGCUCAACAGGCCGUACUUCCUGGAGAAGAUCGAUUCCGAGGAGAGAUUCUGGGUCAUAUUUUCCACAAGCAUCAUUCUUGUGCUUGAACUGGGCGGCCAUAAUUUGAUCGUGAAUGGAUGAGGAUCAAAUUCUUGAGAACCAUCCAUAUCGAAAUCCAAACUUCUGUUUUACAACAUGUGAAAAGAAGUGGCAAAAUGGCAGAUGUUUAUGUCUAUGAAAAGAUGUUCGAUUGAUAGGAUGUAAAAAGGAACAUUCCAGCAUGAAUCAUCAGAACAGAAAAAGUGAAUCAAAGCCAAAAAGACAGGCAACAAUGUGUCCUACACAGAUGAGAGAAGCAACAAAGCACAGAAAGCAUAGAGUUCCCAUUUGAGAUCAUAUGAACAAAACCAAACACUGCACUUGGGCAUACAAGAACGAAGGUAUGCAUAGUGCCACAGAAUCCAAAGAGGUCUAGAAUGCUGAUAAAUCUUCAUAAAUGGUACUUGUAACGACAGGUUUUGUCCACUAGAUAUGCUAUAGCAAAAACUUUGUUUUCUCCACAAAGAUAUCAGAUUGUUUAAAACAAAUUGAAAUAUGCAAAAGUAAGGAACAAAAUGCUUUUUCCUAAUAAUUUUGACCAAAAGAAAUUUAAGCCCUAGAAGUGCCCUUCAUGUAGACCAAAAAGAAAAGAAAUACAACAAUAACAAUAAUAAAACCAUAACGUCCCAAAAGGGAUCGACUGGUCUUUUACUGCCAUUGAAUUAUGUGGAAAAUCGUAUCAUUGAUUAAAUUAAAAUUUCUAAAUCUUUAUUUUGUGUUUCUAGAAGCAUCCGUUUACGUCUCGUUCCAUCUCUUCUCUUAUCAAACCAAUAGUAGUAAUUGUUUCAAUUCUUCUGACUACAACAUCUACAAGUCUCCUUGAUACAUGUUUAUAACAUUUUAAACGAUUAUCUUUCAUUUUUAUAUUAUAUCAAGUCUAUAUAUAAUUGUUCAUUAAUGAAAAUAUUUCUUUUUAUUAUCAUUUUUAGUAACUCCACAAAUUCAUAAAAGAAAAAGAAGAGAUUGAACCGGUAAAACCUUUUCACAAUCUAAUCAACUACUAACUAUUUCUUUUACAAAGUUAAAUCCUCCCGGCGUAUUCAUCUCUGCUUUGUCCACCACUGAAGUGAACGUGUCGUGGAUUACACUAUUAAAGACCUAAACCAACCAAAUUAAGUAGAAAGUCGGCUUCUUUGCACUUCAGCAGUCGACUAAUGAAAACCCACAACCCAUCUAUCAAUACAACCAUGGUAACAUUGAUGUUGCUCGAGAAGAGAUGGAUGUCGUUCUAUGAAGUUCAUAACUUUCACCAUGUAUUGGUAGAUCAGUGACGCAGACUCGACAACCCUAUAAAGCUUGUUUUAACAAUAAACGGGGAUUAAAAAGUACAGCCAUUCCCGCAAGCUUCUAUGUGCGGUGAUGAGAAAAGAAAGGAACCCUUCACAUGAACCAGAAAAACAGAACAAGGUCGCCGAUGCAAGAAUCAAGCUUCACCCAUAAGUUCAAACAAAAGCAGACCAUAAAAAAACCAUCCAAUCCAAAGGAUAGCAACGGCAAACAAUAUUCCUAAAGCUUCCUUCUGGUCCUAAUCAACGAUAAGAACAUGCACUGCUUAUCUUUACAUACAAUAACCAGAUACCCAUCAAAGCAUCCUCCGAAGAGCAGACAACGUCGAUUCAAGAAACCUUACAAAGCGAAAGAUCCACAAGAGACGAGGGCCAGGAAGAGGCGUACCAGGAUUCAGAUGCAACGCCACCGGAGAGAGAGAGAGAGAAACGAAAUGGGGUUAAAAUAGAGGGAAGAGGAAAAAUUGAAGCCCUAACCCUUACACCCUAC
rnacentral:lncRNA from 1 species